rnacentral:rRNA from 1 species
UACGAAGGGGGCUAGCGUUGUUCGGAUUUACUGGGCGUAAAGCGCACGUAGGCGGAUUGUUAAGUCAGGGGUGAAAUCCUGGAGCUCAACUCCAGAACUGCCUUUGAUACUGGCAAUCUUGAGUCCGGAAGAGGUGAGUGGAACUCCUAGUGUAGAGGUGGAAUUCGUAGAUAUUGGGAAGAACACCGGUGGCGAAGGCGGCUCACUGGCUCAUUACUGACGCUCAGGCGCGAUAGCGUGGGGAUCAAACAGG